CCCUUAGAUGUCCUGGGCCGCACGCGCGCUACACUGAUGCAUUCAACGAGUUUUACCUUGGCCGAGAGGCCUGGGCAAUCUUUUAAACCUGCAUCGUGAUAGGGAUAGAUUAUUGCAAUUAUUAAUCUUGAACGAGGAAUUCCUAGUAAACGCAAAUCAUCAAUUUGCAUUGAUUACGUCCCUACCCUUUGUACACACCGCCCGUCGCACCUACCGAUUGAAUGGUCCGGUGAAGCCUCGGGAUUGUGGCCAGUUCACUUUAUUGGGAGUUGGCUGUGAGAACUUGUCUAAACCUUAUCAUUUAGAGGAAGGUGAAGUCGUAACA
rnacentral:rRNA from 1 species